GGGCUCUACCUCGAGAUCCUGAGAUCAUACCUGGGCUGAAAUCAAGAGUCUGGCACUUAACAGACUGAGCCACCCAGGCGCCCCCACAUUUGCUUUCGAAAGCCUGCAGUGAGCAGGGGGUUGGGCCUGUACAUGUCUGAUGUCCUUUAGGACACACCUGUGGGACACUAGGCGUUGUGAGCAGUAUCUGUGGUUGUUUCCAUAAUUCUGCAUCCCGCUUUGGGCAUCCCUGUUGGUUUGUAGCUCUGGAAUAUUGGGUCGUUCUCAGGAGAGCCUCUGGAGGCCUGUAACCACAUGCCUGUAGGUAGCAGUGACAUGGCUUCAUCUUGCCUUGUCAGAUUAUAUGGGAGACAAAUCUUGGUGGUGGAGAGUACAGUCUUGGAAUCAUACCAACUAGACUUAGAUGCUGGGUUCUGCUCCUGGGAAAGUGCAUGACCUUGGGCAAUUUACAUCAGCUCUCAAGGUGCCGGUUUUCUUACAUGUAAAACAGGAAUAAUAAUAUUACAUCAUAGGGCUGAGAUGAGAAGAGGUGAGACAAUGUGUAUGAAGCUCUUAGCACAUUCCCUGGCAUGAAAGAAAGUGUUCAGGAAGUGAUGGCUAUGUUUUUUACUCUUGUAGACAAACUAACAGGAGACUCAAACUGUAAUGCAGCAUGUUUGGAGGAAUCAUUGGAGACAUUGGUGUCUAUUUGGAAUAAACUGUUUUAGUCAAGAUUCUUAUGCUUGCAAAGAAACAAAGCCUGUUGGAGCUAGCUCUGGUCAGAAGAGGUGUGAAUGAGAGUUUAUAGAAGAAUCUCACAGGACAAAGAUGAACGGUCAAGUCAGGCUCACAGGGGUUGCUGGGGGCUGGGACCCACAACAGGGGUAGGUCUCUGUUCCUCAGUCCCUAUGUGGCCUUCUGCUCUGUGCUUCUGCCCAUACUUCUGCACUCUCUUCCUCUCUCUUGGCCAGAUUCCUUUGCUUACUCAUCUUGCAUGUGGCUCCAGUGGCUUCCUAGCCACCAUUGAUUGCAACAGACUUGUGUGUUUUAACACACAAUGUAUGAGAGAAAUUGGACUGGCCCACUUUGUUUGAGCCCGGCCACAUGAGUCACCAGCCAUGGCCCAGCCAGUCGACUGGCUUUUCUUUUGGUCAGCUGUUAACCUGUGAUCCAAUCAGUCAUGGCCUGUGCAGUUAAGAUCUCGUGGAAAGUUAAAGCUGCCUCUGUCAGACAGUGAGCAGAACAGGUUUUCUAGAAAAGAGUAGGAAUAUCUAGUACAGUCCGCCUGAGAGCUGUCAUCUCUACUAUUCGCAGUCUUGCUAACUGAGUCCCAUGGAGGAGAGCUCAACCACAGAGAAAUUGGAAAGACCCAAACACUGGUGGUCCCUCCUCCUCUCUCCCUAAACAGGGCUGGUGUCAAGAGGGUUGCACAAUGAAAAAAAAAUCUCUCCAUCUGUGCCUUCCAAGGUAGUAGGUCAGAAUGGGAGGGACUGUGCUGGCUUUUUCCAUGUACAGGGAGGAGCAAGGAAAAGCCUAGAAGUAGUGGUGGAGGCAGGUUGGGGUGGAUAAGGGGGCUGAGUCGGAGUGGACGGGUGGGCUGAGGAGCUGUGACCCCUCUGGAGAGGGCAGAGGAAGGGCGGGUGCGGAGGGCCUUGGGGCUCAGGGAAAUGGCUGACCCAACGGAGAGGAGGCCCUCUAAAUUCCUCUGGCCCCGAGCCCCGGGGGCCUGGCUUUUCUCUCAGUGCUGGCAAGGGAGGUGCCUGUUUAUCUGAGGGGCUGCUUACUGCAGGCUGCAGCUGUGCUGGACCCUCCCCUGGGGCGCCGAAUUCUCCGGAGACAAUUGGACCAGGACAGCAGAGAGUCAAGCGAAAUGAAGAAGCAGAGAAAUAUAUUCCAAAUGAAAAAACAAGAUAAAAGCUUAGAAAAAACCUUAGUGAAUGGAGAUCAGUAAAAUACCUGAUAAAGAGUUCAAGUAAUGGCCAUAAAGAUACUGAAUUGGGGAGAAAAAUGAAUGAGCACAGUGAGAACUUCAACAAAGAGGUGGAAGGUGUAAGAAAGUACCAAUUAGGAGUUAUGGAGCUAAAGAAUAUAAUAACUAAACUGAAGACGACAUUAUGGGGUUCAAUAGCAGACUUGAUGAAGCAGGAAAAAAAGAUCAGUCAGCUUGAAGACAAGGCAGUGGAACUCACCCAAUUAGAGCAACAAAAAGAAACAAAGAAUUAAAAAAAAGUGAAGAUAGUAUAAAGGGAUUAUGGGACAACAUCAAAUGGAUUAACAUUUGCAAUUUGGGGCUUCCAGAUGGAGAAGAAAGAGAGAAAAAGGCAGAAUUCUUAUUUGAAGAAAUAAUGGCUGAAAACUUUCUUAACUUCAGGAAGGAAGCACACACCCAGAUCCAGCAAGCCUAGAAACUUCCAAAUAGGAAGAACCCAAAGAUACCCACACCAAGACACAUUAAAAUAUCAAAAUUUAAAGACAAAUAUAUUAAAAGCAGGAAGAAAAAAAAACCCAAAACUUGUUUUGUUACGUACAAUGAUAUGGGAACCCCCAUAAGACCACGAGCAGAUUUUUCAGUACACACUUUUCAGGCCAGAAGGCAGUGGCACAAUAUAUUCAAAGUGCUGAAAGAACAAAAUUCCCAACCAAGAAUAUUCUACCUACAUUCAGAAUUGAAGGAAAGAAAAAGCUUUUUAGACAAGCAAAAGCUAAAGAAGUUGAUCACCACUAAGCCAUCCUUACAAGAAAUAUUAAAGGGACCUCUUUAAGCUGAAUAAAGGGCACUAAUUAGUAAUAAGAAUAUAUAUGAAAGAAGAUUAAAUCUCACUGGAAAAGUAAAGGUAGUAGUAAAGAUCAUGGGUUAAAUACUUAUAAAGUUAGUAUGAAGGUUAAAAGACAAAAGUAGGAAAAAUACCUAUGACUUCAAUUAUUAACUAAGGGAUACACGGGCUCAAAAGAUGUAAAACAUGACAUCAAAAACAUAAAACAUGGAAGGAGAGUAAAAAUAGUGAGCUUUAGAAUGAGAUCAAACUUAGGUUGUUUUCAACUUACAAUAAAUUUAUAGAUAUAAAUUGUAAUGUGGAAGCCUCAUGGUAACCACAAGGCAAAAACCUAUAGUAAAUAUACAAAUAAUAAAGAGAACAGAAUGUAACUGUACCACUAAUGAAAAUCUUCAAACUGUAAAGGGAGAUAGCAAGAAAAGAAGAAAGAGAGGAACUAUAAAAACAUCCAGAAAACAACUAAAUGACAAUAAGCACAUAUUUACUGAUGAUAAUUUUAAGUGUAAAAGGACCAAAUUCUCCAAUCAAAAGGUAUACAGUGCCUGGAAAGAUAAAAACACAAUACCUAUCUAUACGCUGCCUGUAAGAGAUACACUUUAGAUGUAAGGCCACACAGACUGAGAGUGAAACUGGAAAAGAUAAUUCAUGCAAAUAGAAAUGAAAAGAAAGUUGAAGUAGCUAUAUUUAUACCAGACAAAAUAGACUUUAAAACAAAAACUAAAAUAAAAGAAACAUUAUUAAAAGACAAAGGGGUCCAUUCAACAAGAGGAUAUAACAUUUGUAAAUAUUUAUGCAUCCAACAUAGGAGCACCUAAAUAUAUGACCCAGAUAUUAACAGCCUUAAAGGAAGAAAUAAAUAGUAAUACAGUAAUAGUAGGGGACUUUAAUACCACUAUCAAUGGAUGGAUUAUCUAGACAGAAAAAUCAAUAAAAAAAUAUUGACCUUACAUGACAUGUUAGACCAAAUGGACUUAGAUAUUUACAGAACAUUUCAUCCAAAAGCAACACAACACAUAGUCUUCUCAAGUAUACCUGGAACAUUUUCCAAGAUAGAGCAUAUGUUAAGCCACAAAACAAGUCAUACUACAUUUAAAAAGGGUUGAAAUCAUAUCAAGUAUUUUUUCCAACCACAGUGAUAUGAAACUAGAAAUUAAUCGCAUAAAGAAAACUGGAAAAUUAAAAAAUACAUUGGGACAAACAGAAGUGGAAAUGUAACAUGCCAAAAUUUAUGGGAUGCAGUAAAAGUAAUUCUAAGAAAGAAGUUCAUAGUGAUAAAUGCCUACCUCAAGAAACAAGGACAGUCUCAAAUAAACACCUAACUUUAUACCUCAAGUAAUUAGAAAAAGAACAAAUGAAGCCCAAAGUUAGUAGAAGGAAGAAAAUAAUAAAGAUUAGAGCAGAAAACAUGAAACAGACUAUAGGACAACAGAAAAGAUCAAUGAAAGUAAGAGCUUAUUCUUUGAAAAGAUAAAUAAAAUUGACAAAACUUCAGUUAGAUUCACCAAAAAAAAAAAAAAAAAAAAAAAA